rnacentral:rRNA from 1 species
AUUGAACGCUGGCGGCAGGCCUAACACAUGCAAGUCGAGCGAGCGGCGGACGGGUGAGUAAUGUAUGGGGACUGCCCGAUAGAGGGGGCUAACUACUGGAAACGGUGGCUAAUACCGCAUACUAUCGGAUAACCCAUAUGGGAUUAGCUAGUAGGUGGGGUAAAGGCUCACCUAGGCGACGAUCUCUAGCUGGUCUGAGAGGAUGAUCAGCCACACUGGGACUGAGACACGGCCCAGACUCCUACGGAGGCAGCAGUGGGGAAGAUUGGACAAUGGGCGCAAGCCUGAUGGAGCCAUGCCGCGUGUAUGAAGAAGGCCUUCGGGUUGUAAAGUUCUGUUAGCGGGGAGGCGGUACCCAAAGAGGAAGCAACGGCUAACUCCGUGCCAGCAGCCGCGGUAAUAC